rnacentral:lncRNA from 1 species
AUAAUUAGAUCAGCACAGAAUACAAAAACAAGAUGUAUUUUGAACAGUACAGGGGACAGUCUGCCCACGUCUGUUUGAAAUGAGAUGACCACCCUCACGUUGAAGUACACCACGCUGAGAUGAAAACACAGUGGCACACUGGGCUGUUUGCUAAGGAGCUCGAGUAAAUGAAGACUCAGAGAGAAACCAUGGGCUCAGACAAUGGUAUGAAAAGCUUUCUUUGUCACCCCAGAGGCAUUUGUUUUCAGGUAACCUGGUGCAUGUAUGGCCACAGUGAUGGUUGUACUGUCAACAUCCCAAGGGUCCCGUGCCACCCAUAGGUCAGAAUGGGGCCUUUGGGAAGGGGAUAUCAGGAGCUGCAGCUGCCUGCCCAGGUCAUGGCACAGCUGAUCUACCUAGGCCAGGACAUGGUACGUACCAAAAGGCACUAUAAAUUUCUGACUUUGUAUCUGAACUAAGAUUAAAUUUCUGUGAUGCUCGUAAGUAGGGCAAGCUCACCAAAUGGCUCUGCUGACUUUGAGGAAACAGACCACAGGCCCAGCAGAGACCCUUCAGACAAAAUAAAAACUGUUCUGCUUUGCAGAAGCCUAAACCAUUCACGGAAUCUGCCUUCACUGAAGAAACAUGUUGGCAUAAAAUUUGCUUUGAAACUUUUUGUUAUGAAAAUUUCCUAACUACUUAUAAAGAUGGAGCAUCUGCAGGUCAUUUCAGAGUACUCUCAGAUGUGACAGGUGUCAUGUUUUCAUCCUCUGCCACUACAGACAGAGUGCCUCACUCCUCCUCCCUUCCCCUUCCUACAGCAAUCACUUUCCUUAAACAUGUCAACAUUUGCCAAACAAUGGAAACAUCAAAGGUGACUUUUCACUCCUCCUGAUUCCAUGCGGCUUAGUCCUGGUGUUAUUGCACGAUAAAAGGUAAACAGAUUCAGAUGAGAAAGUGCGGUCAUAAUAAACUCUGAGGUCUCUGUAAAUCCUACAAGGAAGCCAGAAACAAUCCCUCUCCCAGGACUGCAGUUACUCCGACCAUGAUAACCAUCCAGAACUGGGCUAAUUCCUCUUUUCAUCAGAUAAAGGCAGAGCUAAUUUUCUUCAACAACAGUCCAGAGCACACUCCUAAGGUUUGAUUUGGAUGGUGUAAAUUAACAUCUUUGCCUGAAAGUGCUGGUAUGCCAGAUUAUCCUUCUAUGAAAAAUAAUUACAGUUAGAGGUACCAUUUGCUAUUUUCAUAACAUGAA